GUGUUAACAUUCAUGAUGCUGAAAAUUUGUACAACACCUACGGGGGAACACCUUCAUCAAAGGGGACAGCAGCUCAGAAAAGACAACUGACACCUGAAAAUCCUAAUAAAGAGAUUUCAGAAUAAUAUUCGUAGUCCAGUUGUGCCUUUUUCACCUGCAAGUUUUUCACCAGUUGGGACAACUCCUUCCAAAAAGUAUAGAUUAAGAACAAAUGCUGGUGAUGUGGUAGCCUCCAUUGGAAACUUGGAUAAUAUUAAGUGGCAAAGUAAAGGCAAGAAUUGCACCAUUAAAUGGUAUGAUCCAUUGAACAACUUAUCCAAAGAGGACAGUGAAAAUCUAAAGGAUCUGAAUAAAAACUUCAAGUAUAUGUUUCAGAAGCUAACGGCCAAAGCUGCAGUUUUAAAUGAAAUGAUAGAAGAAAUGGGAAAACAACUACAAGAGAAGAACAACAUUGAGGAAUUUUCCCAUGUCUCUUUGCCAGUUCAGGAAGAGGUGACUUUGGUUGGGAGAAUUUGCUGUGAUAGCCUUGGGAAGCUGAAUGCCAAGUCUGUGAUUCUGGAAGGUUCCAGAGAGACGUCUGCUGGCUGCUUCAUUCCUUUGGACCUAACCGACCUCAAGCAGUACUCACUGUUUCCAGGG